UGUUUAUCGAGAGUGCGGAGGAGGGAAUUGGCCCAAUGAUCCCGCCGGCAACCGUUUCGAUGUGUACUCUUUGGUUUUGGAGAACUGAAAGAGGAAGAUCGGAAAAGCGGUACAACCUCAAGUUUCUGACGAGCAUUGGCGAGUAAGAAACACGGAAGUACUGAGAGUGGUGCCAAAUCCAAACCCUUCUAGGGAAAGAUGAAAU
rnacentral:ncRNA from 2 species